UACAGAGGUCUCAAGCGUUGUUCGGAUUCAUUGGGCGUAAAGGGUGCGUAGGCGGCGCGGUAAGUCGGGUGUGAAGUCUCGAGCUUAACUCCGAAACUGCAUUCGAUACUGCCGUGCUUGAGGACUGGAGAGGAGACUGGAAUUUACGGUGUAGCGGUGAAAUGCGUAGAUAUCGUAAGGAAGACCAGUGGCGAAGGCGGGUCUCUGGACAGUUCCUGACGCUGAGGCACGAAGGUCAGGGGAGCAAACGGG
rnacentral:rRNA from 1 species